GCAGACACAUUCCAGCCAAUCAGCAGCAGACCCUACCUCCCAGACCCUCCCACCUCCAUUUUACAUUCAUUGUGAAGCUGCAUUCUUAGUGAGCUGUCCAGGAGUUGGGAGGAUCUGGGAGGGAGGGUCUGCUGCUGAUUGGCUGUAAUGUGUCUG
rnacentral:miRNA from 1 species